rnacentral:tRNA from 1 species
ACGCCAGUAGUAUAGCAAGUACAAGUGCCUUCCAAGCAUUAGGCCUACAAAGAUGUAGCCGGUGUA